rnacentral:piRNA from 1 species
UAUGAAGAGUAGCUUAGCUCU